GAAUCAGAGGCGUAGCCACCAGCCUAUGCCCCAGCCACAGCAACGUGGGAAUCUGAGCUGUAUCUGUGACCUACACCACAGCUCAUGGCAACGCUGGAUUCUUAACCCACUGAGCAAGGCCAGGGAUCAAACCCACAACCUCAUGGUUCCUAGUCAGAUUCGUUAACCACGGAGCCACGACGGGAACUCCUCCAUUCUAACUUUUAAAUCUAUGUGCUGUAUUUUCUUGUGGACAGCAAAUAGACAGGUGGCAAAAUUAUCUUGGAUACCACAAAAUGACAGAAUAAUUUUAGAAACUUUUUUUUUAACUCAGGCUUAUAAAAGGCAGCCUUAUCUAUAUUUACCAUUUCUGCUUCUUUUCUUCCUCUAGAAUGUCAUCCUUAUUUCCUCCUAUUUUACCUGCUGCUCCAGUUGAAACUUUUGUUUAAUUUGCUUAGAUUUGAGCUGUCUAACCUAUAACUCCAGUUACACUGAAUGACUGAGAACUUAAAAUAUUGCUGGCAUGACUGAGGAAUUGUGUGCUUCAUUUUAUUUAAUUUUCAUUAAUUUAAAUUUAAAACUGAUACUGGAUCCUGCUAUUAGAAAAUGUUUAGGUAUGUUUGGGAUAUUUUGGGUGUGUGACUCUCCUGUAGUUAUUGAGCUAUAAAUUUUAUGAAAACCAAGUUCAAAUCAAAUGAUUCCAGUGAAAAUUUAGCUCUCAAAUUGAUUGCUAAAAUUAUAAAUGUAAUACACACUGAAUUUCAUAGUUUUAGUACAAGAAAAAGAAUGUAAAAUAUCAGUAAAUUUUUAUGUUGAGUGUAUGUUACAGUAACAAUAUUUUGAUAUAUUGGGUUAAGUAAAAUAUUAUUAAAGCUAAGUUCACUUGUUUCUUUUUAAUUUUUGUAAUACGACUACUGGAAACUUUUAAAUUGCCUAUGUGGUUUGCAUUAUAUUUGAUUGGUUAGCUCUGGCUUAGGUCCUCAUACUUAUUUGAGCUUUUGGAAUGUCCCAAAGACUUGGUUUGAAGAGCAAUGGCUGAGAGUGGAAAACAUUCCUGAAAUCUACAAAUCAUGGCCGAUUUACAGGUGGCCCCUUGAAAAAGUCAAAGAGUUUAAUGAAGGCCAUCAUAAAUAAACAUUAGCAGUCAUCAAAGCUGGCCUGCCUUUCAACAUAUUGCUCUGUGAAAUGUUCUUGCCUUUUUUGUUUCUGGGUCUUUAUAUGCAUUCAUAUUUUUAAGUCAAUAAUUUUUACAAAUUCCAUAAAGUGACCAUAAGUAUGGUAGUAAGUCUAUAUUUUGUAAAGUGUUUUGAAAUGAACAGUUAAAAAAUACUAUAAAAACACAUUUUUACUUAGAUUCUAUGGAUAGAGGAAAAAAAACAUAGACAUUAUGUUAUUGAAUUUGCUUUUCCACAUACCUCAGUGUUCAAUUGAACUACUCAGUUAUGAUGUAUUAUAAUUUCAUACAUCACAGAUAACUAGAUUUAAUGUUAUUUUAGACGUCAAAAUGUUUUUAAAUCAUGAAAGGGGUAUUCAUACACGAGGCUGAACAGGCUGUCAGCACACCAGAGGCUAAUUUAGACUGUGUCUGGGUUAUUUUCCUGGGCUCUAAUGCUUCUGUGAAAGCAUCUAUUCAGUGCCCCGUAUCUGUCUUUCAUCAGAAUGAAUUUGUCAGCCAUUUCUGGGGAAGAUAAUAUAAAAUAAUUUUCUGAAUGUAAUAUUUGUAUUCCAUUGCUAACACAGUCUACAAACGUCUCCUUAGGUAGAAGUUGGUCAACUCAAAAAGAAUUUCUUAAACACUUACUGUGAGCUAAGUAUUGUAGGCUAUAAAACCCAUUCCUUGAACCAUCUAAAAUCUUCAUGAAUCAUUGAAAUUAAGCAAUGUGGAAGGUUUAACAUCUGAAAAAAGAUAAUAUUAAAUUAGUAUAAUAAAGAAUAGUGUUCCAAAGUUGGGAAAGAAUCAGGAAAACAUAAUUAAUCUUAGUAUAUUCCAUUUUUCUUGGAGUAACCAAUAAGAUCGAUGAGUAGAGAUCAAAAUUUUAGAGGAUAUAGAUACUUAAUAUGUAGACUGUUUAGACCAUCUGUUACAUAAAUUUGAAUAAAAUGUCACAAAGCAUCUUAUUAAAGAGGACUAGAGAAGAAUCGAGAAGAUCCAAACUGGAGUUCUGACCUACCAUUGAUCAGAAGUGUGACUCGGGGAUUUGUUGGUAAGCUUUCUGAGCCUCAGUGUCGUUGCAUGGAAAAUGGGGGUUGGUAAACCCUUCCCUGCCUGAUCCUACAGGGUCUCAGUAAAGAGCGAAUGAAAGAGGGUUUUGUCCUUUUUUUUUUUUCCUUAAUUUUACAUGACUAGUGAAAUGCAGGACAUAGUUACCAACCUAUCUUCUUAAAUUCCUUUGAAGAUUUAUAAUGUUCCUCUGCUUUCUUCAGCUACUUGUAGACCUGAUAGCACUGCUAAUUAUUUGUGAGCUCAAAUAGAAAUGCUUUGGCAUAAACUGCCUUACAAAGAAAAGUUAUUAUUUUAAAAUAAUCUCAGCGUGUAGCUCUUCAGUUUAAUGUGACAAAAAUAAGUUAAAUAAUUAAAAAAUACAAAGUUAGAUUUGACUGGAAUUAAUCAGAAGAUCACAGAGGGUUUUAAUAUGGAACUAUAUUCAAACCCUUGAAUAACACGGGAAUUAGGGAUGUCGGCCCUCGCACUGUCAAAAACCCGUGUUUAAUUUAUAGUCGGCCCUCUGCCUCCAGGGUUCCUCUGAUCCAUGGAUUCUAUCAACUGCAGAUUGUAGUGCUGUUGUAUCUACUUUUGAAAAAAACCCAUGUAUAAACAGACUUUCACAAUUCAAACCGUUGUUGUUCAAGUAUCAGUUGUAUUUUACCAAUUAUUUUGCGAUUAGGUUUCCAGCUAGCAUUUUAUUUUAACAAAGGUCCUACCAGGAAUAGCUUCUUGUUAUACUUUACAAUGAAGUAAACACUGGUUUAGUGUUUAAUUUUUAUUUAAAUGGGAAAUUUUAGACUACGAAGCAGUUUCUCAAGACUUAAAGGAAUCCAGAAGAAGAUGGGAUUUUAACUGUGUUGUUUCUGUUAUUGUUGAACACUUCAGGCAAUUUAGCUUCCUCAAGAAGUUUAAGAUAAAAGGCUACAGUGAUUACUCCAUCUCUUCCGAUAAAUUUAGGGUGAAAUAUAAUUUGUACAUUUAUUAGAAUUUUUGGCAUCACAUGUAUUUUAUUACUAUAACAUAAUGCUUACCCUGACCUCAUUUCUUUAAAACAGUAAACUUGAACAUUUCUCUUUUGAAAAGUUGGCUGCACCUGCAGCAUAUGGAAUUUGCCAGGCUAGGGGUUGAAUCGGAGCUGAAGCGGCCUACACCACAGCCACAGCAACACUUCAUCCAAGCUGCAUCUGUGACCUACACCACAGCUUGCAGCAAUGCUGGAUGCUUAGAACACUGACCCAGGCUAGGGAUAGAACCCACAUCCUCACAGAAACAAUGCUGGGACCUUAACCUCUCGAGCCACAGAGGGAACUCCUCCAUGCUCUUUGAUUGACAGGAUCAGCUAGUGGGUUUGCAGCAUCUUUGCUCAUGAUAUUCUACAGAAUAAAAUUUAAUUUUUCUUCAAAUGGUAGAUAAACAUGGAUUAUUGCUUAUAACUCAGAUAUGAAAAACCUGCUUCUCAGGAAAUCCUUAGAGUGGAGAAAUACUGAGGGGGAAAGUUACUUGGUACAUAACAGUUAAAUCCUGGAUUAGAAGAAAGGUAUUGCCCUUAGAUGAGUGCAUUGCUGGAGCUCAGUUUUCUAGAAAUGACCGGUCAUCUCAGACACCCCAAGUCUUGUUAUUGCACUUAACGUUUUAUGUUGUUUAUUCUCAAUAGAUUUUCAUAUGCACUGGUAUUUAAGGCAUGUGUGGUUUUAACUUAUGUAUGUUGGAAAUUGAUCUUUGAAAAGUUCCCUUGGCUUUUCAAUAUAUAUUUGACUGCUAGGAACCCUUUCAAAUAUGGUAUGAGCCAUUAGAAGGAGCAUUAUGAAACAGAAUCCUCACGCUGCAUUAUGAAAGAAAAUUUUCAAUGAGGAAGUGCUUGUAAAAGCAAAGUGGGGCACUAUUUCUGUUAGAAAAUUAAAAGAAUAAAUUAUGUUGUUUUAUUUCGUUUGGUUCAUAUUGAAUUGUGCUCGAUAAAGAAUUUGGCAAUGCUUAGAAAAAUACAUAAACCGCAAUGAGUAAGAGAAAUCAUAGAGGAAGUUGGUAAGGCAGGAAAAUCAUCAAGCUCUGAUGGUAAUGAAUUUAUGAUGAUGAGGACAUAUUUAUUCAGUUGUACUCAAAGCCAGGUACUGUUGUGAACACUUUUCAUGUGGAAACUCGUUUAAUCCUCACCGUAACCUUAGCUAAUAAGAAUGUCUUCACAGAUGAAGAAAAGCACUGAUACAUGUCCUAAGUCACAGAGUUAAAGAGGCAGAAACCAUGCUGGAAACUUGCCAGCUGGCCUUCGAGCCUGGGAUCUAGGUUGCUGAGCUCUGCUGCCUUCUCUGUAAACCCAGCGUGCAGAAUUAUGGAGUCUUUGCAGGGUACCACAAAUUUGGCUCUAGGACAUUUAGCAGCUAAACGAAAGCUGCAAAGGUAAUCACAGUGUCCACAGGAAUAAUACAUCAAUUAUUGCCGAAUUAAAAAAACUCAUAGCACUUUCCGUAUGUAUUUGGAACUACCUCACUGCACCAUGUAUUGAAUCAUACCAAGAGUCAAAUCAUGCCCCCCUAUGGUGAAUGACCUUUGAGUCAUAAAAGCUCCACUUGUUUUGCCAAGUAAUUAAUAGAUCUUGAGAGUAUCUAUACCUCUAAACGGCAGCAUAUUAGCACAAGCCAGGUAAGCGCAGAUGUAUUUUGCCAGCUCAGCUUAGAGCCAAAACUUUCAGCCUCCAGACCAGUGGUAUUUUGUGCCCUACAAGCCUGAGGCUCCUUUAGGAAAUUUCCCAUGGUGGGUGAGGAUAACAGCAGGUCAGACUAAGAAUGAUGGAGAUGGGAAGUUUUGAGCAUGCAGCCAAAAUAAGUCAAAUCUUACUAUGUUGACAAUUACAGAUGUACAUGUAUAUGAAUUUGUCAUCCCAAUACUUUAACCCAAAGAGUUUGGCCAGCAUGGUUCAAAUUCUGGUGUAAGAUUGCUUCCUCCAGGAGAGUAAGAGUCAGCACCUAAGUAAAGCAGUCCAGCCAAGCCCAGAGGCUGGAGCUGUGUUAUCCUGGGAACUAGAGGUGGCCUGGUCUGAGUUUGACUCCGGGAGUAAGAUGUCAGGCAGUCUCAGCCAGGGGUGGCAAGGGGAGCUGUGGCUGUUAUUCCACCAGAAAAGAAAAGCAGAGGCAUCGCUUUUGAAGGUCUCAGGGUAUUUCUUUGUAACUAAACAAUGAACUACCUUGGCAUUGCUUCAGAAGAGGCAUUACAUCAAAGAACUUUUUCCCUCUGCCUGUCUUUUUUGUGACUGAGAACAAGAGGGAAGCAAAGCCUCUUUUAUGCAGUGCAUAUUAAUCACUAUCAAAACACACAGCUGUUGGAUUAAUUUGGGUACUAAUUUACUUAGAGUUUGAUUUUGCCACUUAAAAUGAAGUAUUAUCACUGAGGCAUAGUGUGAAAGUGUGUUGUUGUGAAUGACCUUUGAGUCAUAAAAUCUCCACUUGUUUUGCCAAAUAAUUAAUCUGAUGUUCAGUGAGUCUCCCACUGCCCAAAGACCUCUGUAAUCCUGAGAUGUGACAUUUUAUGUUUGCAGAUGCUUGAUUUAGUGGUGCCUCUGCCAGCUGAUCACUAACAAAUGGCAGCACAGCCAAGGAAGACCAGUGAGAUGUGUCUGGUCUGUGUAAUGGUAAACCUGUGGUGCCAGCUGUCUUCCAGAAACUCUCCUUAAAAACUCAGAAUUAGCUGGCCAUAAUCAGUUCAUUAAAAAACGCAACAGCCAAGAACUAUUACGGAGAUUGAAAAUAUUUGCUGAUGUCCCCACUGAGGGAGGUAAAGUUGGGUUGGGUUUCUGUGUAUGACUCCAGAGGAUGACGUGUACAUAGCUCAUGUUAUGAGUGGCGCCCCCUAAAGUCGUGUAAUAUCGUAGUUCUACAUUUUAAAUUGUGCAUGGUUUUUACCAUUUUAACAGUAUCCCAUAAUUAUUUAACAUGUGUUCGUGUCCCAACUUGUCUAUAAACUCCUUCAGGAUUAGUUUUAUUUUCUUAUUCUUAAUAUUGCCAAGCCCUGGUCAAGUCCCUAGGGCGCAGGAAACUUUUAAAGCUUUUUUUUUUUUUUUUUUUUUUUUUUUGUCUUUUUGCCAUUUCUUGGGCCGCUCCCGCGGCAUAUGGAGGUUCCCAGGCUAGGGGUUGAAUCGGAGCUGUAGCCCCCGGCCUACACCAGAGCCACAGCAACGCGGGAUCCGAGCCGAGUCUGCGACCUACACCACAGCUCACGGCAACGCCGGAUCCUUAACCCACUGACCAAGGCCAGGGAUCAAACCCACAACCUCAUGGUUCCUAGUCGGAUUCAUUAACCACUGAGCCACGAUGGGAACUCCAGGAAACUUUUAAAGCUUAUACAUUUGGUUGAACAAAAGUGCAAAUAUAUUUUAUAAAGCUAAGGUUUUUCGCUUUUGUGUUUAAACACAUAAGAACUUUCCAAAAACAUUACUCGUAUUGGUAUGUCAGCUUAGCCUUCGCAUUCCUAAUCGUUAGGAAUCUUCAGGACGCAAGUGAAAGAAGACCAAAUCAAAUACAUCUAAGUCAAACGGAAAAAAAAAAAAAA
rnacentral:lncRNA from 1 species